AUUGAACGCUGGCGGCAGGCUUAACACAUGCAAGUCGAGCGAGCGGCGGACGGGUGAGUAAUGUCUGGGAAACUGCCUGGUGGAGGGGGAUAACUACUGGAAACGGUAGCUAAUACCGCAUACCAUCAGAUGGGCCCAGAUGGGAUUAGCUAGUCGGUGGGGUAAUGGAUCACCGAGGCGACUGUCCCUAGCUGGUCUGCGAGGAUGCCCAGCCACACUGGAACUGAGAAACGGUCCAGACUCCUACGGGAGGCAGCAGUGGGGAAUAUUGCACAAUGGGCGCAAGCCUGAUGCAGCCAUGCCGCGUGUGUGAAGAAGGCCUUCGGGUUGUAAAGCACUUUCAGCGAGGAGGCGUUACUCGCAGAAGAAGCACCGGCUAACUCCGUGCCAGCCGCCGCGGUAAUAC
rnacentral:rRNA from 1 species